rnacentral:rRNA from 1 species
AACGAACGCUGGCGGCAUGCCUAACACAUGCAAGUCGAACGAGACCUUCGGGUCUAGUGGCGCACGGGUGCGUAACGCGUGGGAAUCUGCCCUUCGGUUGGGAAUAACUGAGAGAAAUUUCAGCUAAUACCUUAUAAUGUCUUCGGACCAAAGAUUUAUCGCCGAGGGAUGAGCCCGCGUAGGAUUAGGUAGUUGGUGGGGUAAUGGCCUACCAAGCCGACGAUCCUUAGCUGGUCUGAGAGGAUGAUCAGCCACACUGGGACUGAGACACGGCCCAGACUCCUACGGGAGGCAGCAGUGGGGGAUAUUGGACAAUGGGCGAAAGCCUGAUCCAGCAAUGCCGCGUGAGUGAUGAAGGCCUUAGGGUUGUAAAGCUCUUUUACCCGGGAUGAUAAUGACAGUACCGGGAGAAUAAGCUCCGGCUAACUCCGUGCCAGCCGCCGCGGUAA